GCCCCGAUGGUGGAAUGGUAGACACGCAUGUUUCAGGUACAUGUGCCGCAAGGUGUGCUGGUUCGAGUCCGGUUCGGGGCA
rnacentral:tRNA from 2 species